AUCUAGAUUCUAUAUCUAGAUUUCUAGACAUCACGACGUGCUGUCGUUUCUUCAUCACUUAGGUCUAGAUCACUUUCAUCACCACUUGAUGAACCAGUACUUGAAUCAUCUAUUUCAGCUAUCGGCACAUCGUCACUUUCAUUGUCAGCUUCAAUUGUCUGGAUCCUAUGACGUGUGCUGAAAGCCAAUAUUAUUGAGACUGUACCUUUGAUAAAUGCAGUUGUGCACUAUACCUGAUUUGUUUGACAAGUUGGCCCCUGCCACCCCCCAAAAAUUGUAUCAGAUACUUUCUCAGGAGCUGCUUUACAGAGGUACAUGUAAAUAACAUAUCAAAGUAUCUGGAAGAAAGGGUAAGUGAUAUAAUUAAGUUAUAUCCAUUCCACAGACACUUCUACCUUAAAAUUGACAGAUUGGAGAAAAGGCAAAAUUAAAGUUUAAUGACAAAAUAUUCUAUUAUAUUCAUAUAUCUAUAGCCAAAUCAAUGCAACAAAUUGAUAAAAAAUCCAAUUUAAAAAAAAAAAAAUUAAAUUAAAAAACAAAGCAGCCUAGAAAAUAAAUGUAAAAAAAAAGUUUUAGCAAUAACACUCCACACACCAAAAAAAAAAUUUCUAAAAAUUUCCUGCAUUGUAGCUUUUACCCCCCUCAGAAUUAAAAAAACUGCUGCUCUACAAUCUGCCUUGCAUUUACUAUCUGUUUUCUUCUUCUCUUUGCCUCUAAUCCCUUCCUCAUUUCAGCUUUGUUAAUCCGAAGAAUGUCUCGGUUUUUUUUCUUCUUUUUUUUAAAGUUACACUGCUAACUUUGCAGCCAAUGUUCUCUAGAAAUUGGUGGAGACCGACACUCCCUGGAUUGAAUUCAGCAAUUGACAAUGCAGCGCUCACUUCCACUCUUUUUUUUAUACAAAGAUGUGUUUUGGGAUCUGUGUCCAAAUCUUUGCAUGGAUUCUUUCAUUAGCAUUAUGUGUCAUGCCAGAUAAGCAGCGUUCAAGCAAACUGUCAGAGGUGAGCCUUUCAUAUAAGGGCUUUACCUUCUUAGCCACAACCUCUGACAGAAAGAAGCUGCUUUUACCUGUGUGUGAAGGUGGUGUUUGCUCGAGAGCCAUGUCUCUCUACCCAAAAGCACCAAGAUCAACUCCUGUGGGACAGUCAUGGUGGUUGGGCACUUCGUCAGAGGAGGCUGCAUGGUUGAAGCUCAUAAAAAUUUUUUUCCUCAGUUCUUCUACAUCGGCACAUUUACUGGCUACUGCCUCCUUAUAAUACCUCUGAAGAAGGUUCAUCUUUGCCUGUAAAUUGAGGAAUAUUUUAAAAAAUUUAAAA